AGGGUUUGAUCCUGGCUCAGGAUGAACGCUGGCGGCGUGCUUAACACAUGCAAGUCGAACGAACCUUCGGGUUAGUGGCGGACGGGUGAGUAACGCGUGAGAAUCUGCCCUCAGGAGGGGGAUAACGGUUGGAAACGACCGCUAAUACCCCAUAUGCCUACUGGUGAAAUGAAUUUCGCCUGAGGAUGAGCUCGCGUCUGAUUAGCUAGUUGGUGAGGUAAUGGCUCACCAAGGCUUCGAUCAGUAGCUGGUCUGAGAGGAUGAUCAGCCACACUGGGACUGAGACACGGCCCAGACUCCUACGGGAGGCAGCAGUGGGGAAUUUUCCGCAAUGGGCGAAAGCCUGACGGAGCAACGCCGCGUGAGGGACGAAGGCCUCUGGGCUGUAAACCUCUUUUCUCAAGGAAGAAGAUAUGACGGUACUUGAGGAAUAAGCCACGGCUAAUUCCGUGCCAGCAGCCGCGGUAAUACGGGAGUGGCAAGCGUUAUCCGGAAUUAUUGGGCGUAAAGCGUCCGCAGGCGGCUUUUCAAGUCUGCUGUUAAAGCGUGGAGCUUAACUCCAUCAUGGCAGUGGAAACUGAAAGGCUUGAGUAUGGUAGGGGCAGAGGGAAUUCCCGGUGUAGCGGUGAAAUGCGUAGAUAUCGGGAAGAACACCAGUGGCGAAGGCGCUCUGCUGGGCCAUUACUGACGCUCAUGGACGAAAGCCAGGGGAGCGAAAGGGAUUAGAUACCCCUGUAGUCCUGGCCGUAAACGAUGAACACUAGGUGUCGGGGGAAUCGACCCCUUCGGUGUCGUAGCUAACGCGUUAAGUGUUCCGCCUGGGGAGUACGCACGCAAGUGUGAAACUCAAAGGAAUUGA
rnacentral:rRNA from 1 species